UGAGGAAUAUUGGUCAAUGGGCGGGAGCCUGAACCAGCCAAGCCGCGUGAGGGAAGAAGGCCCUAUGGGUCGUAAACCUCUUUUGUCAGGGACCAAAAGCGAGUAUGUAUACUAGUCUGAGUGUACCUGAAGAAAAAGCAUCGGCUAACUCCGUGCCAGCAGCCGCGGUAAUACGGAGGAUGCGAGCGUUAUCCGGAUUUAUUGGGUUUAAAGGGUGCGUAGGCGGCGAUGCAAGUCAGCGGUAAAGCCCGGGGCUCAACCCCGGCGAGCCGUUGAAACUGCAGUGCUAGAGAAGGCGAGAGGUACGCGGAAUGCGCAGUGUAGCGGUGAAAUGCUUAGAUAUUGCGCAGAACUCCGAUUGCGAAGGCAGCGUACUGGCGCCUGACUGACGCUGAGGCACGAAAGCGUGGGGAUCGAACAGGAUUAGAUACC
rnacentral:rRNA from 1 species